UACGGGGGGGGCAAGCGUUGUUCGGAAUUACUGGGCGUAAAGGGCUCGUAGGUGGCCAACUAAGUCAGACGUGAAAUCCCUCGGCUUAACCGGGGAACUGCGUCUGAUACUGGAUGGCUUGAGAUUGGGAGAGGGAUGCGGAAUUCCAGGUGUAGCGGUGAAAUGCGUAGAUAUCGAGAGGAACACCUGCGGCGAAGGCGGGUUGCUGGGCUGACACUGACGCUGAGGCGCGAAAGCUAGGGGAGCGAACGGG
rnacentral:rRNA from 1 species